rnacentral:rRNA from 1 species
GGCUCAGGACGAACGCUGGCGGCGUGCCUAAUACAUGCAAGUCGAGCGGACAGAUGGGAGCUUGCUCCCUGAUGUUAGCGGCGGACGGGUGAGUAACACGUGGGUAACCUGCCUGUAAGACUGGGAUAACUCCGGGAAACCGGGGCUAAUACCGGAUGCUUGUUUGAACCGCAUGGUUCAAACAUAAAAGGUGGCUUCGGCUACCACUUACAGAUGGACCCGCGGCGCAUUAGCUAGUUGGUGAGGUAACGGCUCACCAAGGCAACGAUGCGUAGCCGACCUGAGAGGGUGAUCGGCCACACUGGGACUGAGACACGGCCCAGACUCCUACGGGAGGCAGCAGUAGGGAAUCUUCCGCAAUGGACGAAAGUCUGACGGAGCAACGCCGCGUGAGUGAUGAAGGUUUUCGGAUCGUAAAGCUCUGUUGUUAGGGAAGAACAAGUACCGUUCGAAUAGGGC